GGCCUACCAUGGUGGUAACGGGUAACGGGGUGUUAGGGCACGACACCGGAGAGGGAGCCUGAGAAACGGCUACCACAUCCAAGGAUGGCAGCAGGCGCGCAAAUUACCCAAUCCCGACACGGGGAGGUAGUGACAAUAAAUAACAAUACGGGGUUCUUUCGGAUCUCGUAAUUGGAAUGAGUACAAUUUAAAUCUCUUAACGAGGAACAAUUGGAGGGCAAGUCUGGUGCCAGCAGCCGCGGUAAUUCCAGCUCCAAUAGCGUAUAUUAAAGUUGUUGCAGUUAAAAAGCUCGUAGUUGAAUUUCGGGGUCAGCAGGUUGGUCGUGCCAAUGGUAUGAACUGGCCUUGCUGAUUCCUCCCUCUUGAUGAGCCGUAAUGUCAUUAAUUUGGUGUUGCGGGGAAUCAGGACUGUUACUUUGAAAAAAUUAGAGUGUUUAAAGCAGGCAAGCGCUUGAAUACAUUAGCAUGGAAUAAUGAAAUAGGACGUUUGAUCCUAUUUUGUUGGUUUCUAGGAUUGACGUAAUGAUUAAUAGGGAUAGUUGGGGGCAUUAGUAUUCAAUUGUCAGAGGUGAAAUUCUUGGAUUUAUUGAAGACUAACUACUGCGAAAGCAUUUGCCAAGGAUGUUUUCAUUAAUCAAGAACGAAAGUUAGGGGAUCGAAGACGAUCAGAUACCGUCGUAGUCUUAACCAUAAACUAUGCCGACUAGGGAUCGGAUGAUGUUAAUUUUUUAAUGACUCAUUCGGCGCCUUACG
rnacentral:rRNA from 1 species